UAUCCUACGGGACGCAGCAGUGGGGAAUAUUGCACAAUGGGGGAAACCCUGAUGCAGCGACGCCGCGUGAGUGAAGAAGUAAUUCGUUAUGUAAAGCUCUAUCAGCAGGGCAGAAAAUGAGGGUACCUGAGUAAGAAGCCCCGGCUAACUACGUGCCAGCAGCCGCGGUAAUACGUAGGGGGCAAGCGUUAUCCGGAUUUACUGGGUGUAAAGGGAGCGUAGACGGCAGUGCA
rnacentral:rRNA from 1 species